GGCUUAACACAUGCAAGUCGAGGGGCAGCAUGGUCUUAGCUUGCUAAGGCCGAUGGCGACCGGCGCACGGGUGAGUAACACGUAUCCAACCUGCCGUCUACUCUUGGACAGCCUUCUGAAAGGAAGAUUAAUACAAGAUGGCAUCAUGAGUCCGCAUGUUCACAUGAUUAAAGGUAUUCCGGUAGACGAUGGGGAUGCGUUCCAUUAGAUAGUAGGCGGGGUAACGGCCCACCUAGUCUUCGAUGGAUAGGGGUUCUGAGAGGAAGGUCCCCCACAUUGGAACUGAGACACGGUCCAAACUCCUACGGGAGGCAGCAGUGAGGAAUAUUGGUCAAUGGGCGAGAGCCUGAACCAGCCAAGUAGCGUGAAGGAUGACUGCCCUAUGGGUUGUAAACUUCUUUUAUAAAGGAAUAAAGUCGGGUAUGCAUACCCGUUUGCAUGUACUUUAUGAAUAAGGAUCGGCUAACUCCGUGCCAGCAGCCGCGGUAAUACGGAGGAUCCGAGCGUUAUCCGGAUUUAUUGGGUUUAAAGGGAGCGUAGAUGGAUGUUUAAGUCAGUUGUGAAAGUUUGCGGCUCAACCGUAAAAUUGCAGUUGAUACUGGAUAUCUUGAGUGCAGUUGAGGCAGGCGGAAUUCGUGGUGUAGCGGUGAAAUGCUUAGAUAUCACGAAGAACUCCGAUUGCGAAGGCAGCCUGCUAAGCUGCAACUGACAUUGAGGCUCGAAAGUGUGGGUAUCAAACAGGAUUAGAUACCCUGGUAGUCCACACGGUAAACGAUGAAUACUCGCUGUUUGCGAUAUACAGCAAGCGGCCAAGCGAAAGCGUUAAGUAUUCCACCUGGGGAGUACGCCGGCAACGGUGAAACUCAAAGGAAUUGACGGGGGCCCGCACAAGCGGAGGAACAUGUGGUUUAAUUCGAUGAUACGCGAGGAACCUUACCCGGGCUUAAAUUGCAGAUGAAUUACGGUGAAAGCCGUAAGCCGCAAGGCAUCUGUGAAGGUGCUGCAUGGUUGUCGUCAGCUCGUGCCGUGAGGUGUCGGCUUAAGUGCCAUAACGAGCGCAACCCUUGUUGUCAGUUACUAACAGGUUCCGCUGAGGACUCUGACAAGACUGCCAUCGUAAGAUGUGAGGAAGGUGGGGAUGACGUCAAAUCAGCACGGCCCUUACGUCCGGGGCUACACACGUGUUACAAUGGGGGGUACAGAGGGCCGCUACCACGCGAGUGGAUGCCAAUCCCAAAAACCUCUCUCAGUUCGGACUGGAGUCUGCAACCCGACUCCACGAAGCUGGAUUCGCUAGUAAUCGCGCAUCAGCCACGGCGCGGUGAAUACGUUCCCGGGCCUUGUACACACCGCCCGUCAAGCCAUGGGAGCCGGGGGUACCUGAAGUGCGUAACCGCGAGGAGCGCCCUAGGGUAAAACUGGUGACUGGGGCUAAGUCGUA
rnacentral:rRNA from 1 species